AUCCUUGAUAGUGAGCGGCCUCGSUCWAAGUUGGAAUCWGGMACCUUCGGWGUMCGAGUUGUAAUUUGAAGAUUGUAACCUUGGGGUUGGCUCUUGUCUAUGUUUCUUGGAACAGGACGUCACAGAGGGUGAGAAUCCCGUGCGAUGAGAKGCCCAAUCCUAUGUAAGGUGCUUUCGAAGAGUCGAGUUGUUUGGGAAUGCAGCUCUAAGUGGGUGGUAAAUUCCAUCUAAAGCUAAAUAUUGGCGAGAGACCGAUAGCGAACAAGUACAGUGAUGGAAAGAUGAAAAGAACUUUGAAAAGAGAGUGAAAAAGUACGUGAAAUUGUUGAAAGGGAAGGGUUUGAGAUCAGACUCGAUAUUUUGUGAGCCUUGCCUUCGUGGCGGGGUGACCCGCAGCUUAUCGGGCCAGCAUCGGUUUGGGCGGUAGGAUAAUGGCGUAGGAAUGUGACUUUGCUUCGGUGAAGUGUUAUAGCCUGCGUUGAUGCUGCCUGCCUAGACCGAGGACUGCGAUUUUAUCAAGGAUGCUGGCAUAAUGAUCCCAAACCGCCCGUCUUGAAACACGGACCAA
rnacentral:rRNA from 1 species